UGAGUAACCUGCCCUUAACUCUGGGAUAAGCCUAGGGAAACUGGGUCUAAUACCGGAUAUGACUCCUCAUCGCAUGGGUGGGGGGUGGAAAGCUUUAUUGUGGUUUUGGAUGGACUCGCGGCCUAUCAGCUUGUCGGUGAGGUAACGGCUCACCAAGGCGACGACGGGUAGCUGGUCUGAGAGGAUGGCCAGCCACAUUGGGACUGAGACACGGCCCAGACUCCUACGGGAGGNAG
rnacentral:rRNA from 1 species